rnacentral:rRNA from 1 species
ACAGAGGGUGCGAGCGUUAAUCGGAAUUACUGGGCGUAAAGCGCGCGUAGGCGGCUUUGUAAGUCGGAUGUGAAAUCCCCGGGCUUAACCUGGGAACUGCAUUCGAGACUGCAUAGCUUGAGUAUGGGAGAGGGAGGCGGAAUUUCCGGUGUAGCGGUGAAAUGCGUAGAGAUCGGAAGGAACGUCAAUGGCGAAGGCAGCCACCUGGCAUAAUACUGACGCUGAGGCACGAAAGCGUGGGGAGCGAACAGGA